UAAGAAAAAAAAAAUUAGGAUAAAACACAAACUAGUUUCAUGAUAUGGGGUAUUUCAACCACCAGGAUAUCUGCUGGGAUAGCGGAAAGGCGGGCGGCAGACAGUCCAGCAGAUUCCCGGAGAUUGUUGAGGAUAACUUCCCUGUCCAGGUAUUAGAUGGACCGACCCGAGGUGAAACCUUACUGGACCUGGUGCUCACCAACGUGGAGGAGAGCAUUAGAAGGGUUAAGACUGGAGGCAGCCUGGGCUGUAGUGAUCAUGCCCUGGUGGAGUUUGUGAUCUGGAGGAAUGCAGGCCUGGCAAAGAGUAAAGUCAGGACCCUGAAAUUCAGGAGAGCAAACUUCCGGCUGCUCAAGGAACUGCUGGGUGGGAUCCCCUGGGAAACUGUCCUUAAGGGCGUAGGAACAGAGCAGAGCUGGCAGCUCUUUAAGGACACCCUUCUGAGAGCCCAAGAGGUCUCCAUUCCCCAGCAAAAGAAAUCGAGCAGAGGAGGCAGGCGACCGGCAUGGCUGAGCAAGGACCUGCAGCUUAAACUGAGGGAAAAGAAGGAAAUGUACAGGAAGUGGAAGCAGGGUUGUGUAGCCUGGGAGGAAUAUAGGGCUGUUGUCCGCAUGUGUAGAGAUAGGAUCAGGAAAGCCAAGGCACAGGUAGAGCUGAACUUGGCUAGGGAUGUGAAAAAUAACAAGAACAGGUUCUACAGGUACAUAGGCAAGAGAAGACAAGUCAAGAAGAGUGUUCCCCCUCUGAUAAAUGAAGAUGGAGAAGUGGCUUCCUCAGACGUGGAAAAAGCUGAGGUGCUCAAUAAAUGCUUUGCCUCGGUCUUCACUGGUGGUCAGGCUCCCCGUGUCUGCCAGGACCCUGAACCUCGAGGUGUGGGUGAGAGGAGCAGAUUCUGUCCCACUGUAACAGUGGAACAAGUUCAAGACCUCCUCAUGAAACUGAAUGUGUGGAAGUCCAUGGGGCUGGAUAAUAUCCAUCGUAGGGUUCUGAGAGAGACGGCUGAUGUGGUUGCCGAGCCGCUCUCCAUCAUAUUUGAAAAAUCAUGGCUGUCCGGUGAAGACCCCGGUGACUGGAGAAAGGGAAAUAUUACUCCCAUUUUUAAGAAAGGGAGAAAGGAUGACCCAGAGAACUAUAGGCCGGUGAGCCUCACCUCUGUGCCUGGGAAGAUCAUGGAGCAGAUCCUCCUAGAAGAUAUGUUAAGGCACAUAAGUGACAAGGAGGUGAUCCGAGACAGCCAGCAUGGCUUCACCAAGGGUAGAUCUUGCCUGACCAAUCUGGUGGCCUUCUACGAUGA
rnacentral:lncRNA from 1 species